rnacentral:rRNA from 1 species
CAAGCUAAUAUGAGAGCGCGGCGCACAGCUCAGUAACACGUGGCUAACCUGCCCUUGGGACGGAGAUACCCCCGGGAAACUGGGGCUAAUCCCCGAUAGGUGAAGAACUCUGGAAUGAAUCUCCACCCAAAAGACGUUUACGUUAUGCUCGUAGGCGCCGCCCAAGGAUGGGGCCGCGUCCGAUCAGGUUGUUGGUGAGGUAACGGCUCACCAAGCCUUUUACCGGUGCGGGCCGUGAGAGCGGGAGCCCGGAGAUGGGCACUGAGACAAGGGCCCAGGCCCUACGGGGCGCAGCAGUCGCGAAAACUUUGCAAUACACGAAAGUGUGACAGGGCUAUCCCGAGUGCCAUCCGCUGAGGAAGGCUUUUACCCAGUUUAGAAAGCUGGGAGAAUAAGGAGAGGGCAAGACUGGUGUCAGCCGCCGCGGUAAUACCAGCUCUCCGAGUGGUGUGGAUGUUUAUUGGGCCUAAAGCAUCCGUAGCUGGCUGGGCAAGUCCCCUGUUAAAUCCACCGAUUUAAUCGUUGGUGUGCGGGGGAUACUGCUUGGCUAGGGGACGGGAGAGGCCGACGGUAUUUUCGGGGUAGGGGUGAAAUCCUAUAAUCCCGGAAAGACCACCAGUGGCGAAAGGCUGUCGGCUAGAACGCGCCCGACGGUGAGGGAUGAAAGCUGGGGGAGCGAACCGGAUUAGAUACCCGGGUAGUCC